rnacentral:misc_RNA from 1 species
GAUGAAGAACGUAGCGAAAUGCGAUAAGUAAUGUGAAUUGCAGAAUUCAGUGAUUCAUCGAAUCUUUGAACGCACAUUGCGCCCGCUAGUAUUCUGGCGGGCAUGCCUGUCCGAGCGUCAUUUCAACCCUCAAGCCCCCGGGCUUGGUGUUGGGGAUCGGCGAGCCUCCGCGCCCGCCGUCCCCUAAAUCUAGUGGCGGUCUCGCUGUAGCUUCCUCUGCGUAGUAGCACACCUCGCACUGGGAAACAGCGCGGCCACGCCGUUAAACCCCCAACUUCUGAACGUUUGACCUCGGAUCAGGUAGGAAUACCCGCUGAACUUAAGCAUAUCAAUAAGCGGAGGA